UUAGUUGAACCCACUUCCUUUGCAUGACCUAUCCUUGUCAUAGUAAAUAGCUGAACCUUGCAACCUAGCAUACCUGGUAGUUGCUUGAGCCAUGAUGUGCCUUAUCCUGCUAUGCAUGUUAUGCUUAGAGUUGUGUAUGGUCUGUCAUCUGGGAGAUGAACAAGAUUGUGAGAAUGUGUUCGGUAAGCAAAGGUUGUGUGUUGAACCUGAUUUGGUAAAGGUACCGGUGAAAGGCUGUGUAGGUGUACAUGGCGGGUUGUUUCAUUGGAACCGUCCUUAGGAACUGAGUUCCGUGUAUGUAAUCCAAGACUAGAUACUACCACACGUUGGGAUACUUAAUUGACCCUCUCGACUUAUUAAUCGCAUAGUACUCGGUCCAGGAGUUGCAAGUAGUUUCUGGUGUUUAUAGUCAUGCUGGAGGCCGUGCAUAGUGCUGACCUGAGAGGUGGGCUAUGAUGCGGUAGGCAAUGGCACGGUGUACCAAGUGGCACCCGGAUGGUGGGCUUGGGAACCAUGCGCACAUCGUUUGAGGCCAUGGCGGAAACCUUGGCCGGACUUCCGUACGGGUUACUCUCAGAUAGGCGAUAAACCUGGACUAGGUAAUAGUGUGGUUAACGGUCGUGGCCGACUCCCUCGCUGCGCUUCCGCUUGAUGGUUGCCGAGGUGCAUUACGUGCACAUGGCGAUAAGUGGCGAGAGCGUGUGUGACGAAGUACACCCCUGCAGGGUUAUGAUCUAUUCGAAUAGCCGCGUCCGUGAAUAUGGACUACUUGGAGACAUAUGUUGUUCAUAGAUAACUUCAAUGGCUACUCAUAAAAUUGUCAAGAUAAGCGUGAGUGUCGUGGACGGCAUUUCCGUAUGGAGAUGGAAUGAUUCCACGAUGGUGUAUUGUUGUGGUGUUAGUGGACUCGUGUGCGAGAAAUCAAGUUGUAAAAAUUAUUUAAAAAUGCAAGUUGUCUAGCCACGAGUCAAAUGCUGGCUUUCCGCAUGAAACCCCACAAUACCUUAUUGAUACAUUGCAUGAGUAGAUAGUUAUCCUAAAGUCUUGCUGAGUACCUCCGUACUCAUGUUUGCUUAAUAAAUGUUGCAGAGGUUGCUAACGACCCUAAUGGAGGGUUCUUCAUAGACAUCGACGACGACGAGUAGCUGGUGUCCCACCUACGAUCUGGCCCUAGGUUGGGUCUGUAGUAUAGUCAGGCCAUGUGCCUUCUAGUUGCACCUGUGUGUACUCAGACAGUUUUAAACACUUCCGCUGGCUUGUAACUGAAUGACUGCUAUUAUGGGUCGUGAGACCCUUACUGUGUAAUAUUAUGUGUGUGGCUCUUCCGAGCCUCUUAUAUAAAGCUUGUAUGCUUAUGGUUAUGUUGUGAUGCCAUCGAUGUAUCUAUACAUAUCGGUAUGCCAUGCGUACGUGUGUCGUACUUGAUAUGUAUGGGGUUCGAUUACCUAGUCGUGAAUUUUAGUAGCACUCCUUACAAGGAAAUGCCCCUUUGUGAUCCAACGAGCCAUGGUAGCUCGCUACUGCUCCGGACACAUUGGUUGACCGGCAUGUGUCCUUCUUAGCUGCUGUGUCUGUCCCCUUUGGGGAAAUGUCACGCGAUGUAAUGGAGUCCUUGUAGCUUGCUACGACUCGUCUACACUCGCUGGUGACCGACACCUGCUUUGGUGGGUCAUGUAUGCCUGUCCUUGUGCGGUACUACCACUUUGGUUUAUGACUAGACUUGUCGAUCUGGGUUCUUUGACAUUGGAAUGCUAGCGACACUAUUGCAUACGUGAGUCAAAAGACGCAAACGGUCCCGGCUAAGGUAAGGCUGCAGCCGUGGAGUUAACCGUGCGUGAGACCGCAAAGGGAUGCGAUGUGUUACAGGCUGGAUUCCUAUGGCUUAGGAUCGGGGUCCCGACAGCGUUGGUAUGAGAGCCUGACUGACUGUAGGAUUACUAAGCCAAACUGGUUGAAGUUGAGUCUAGAAUUGCUUUAGUUAUAUAUAAGGGGAUUGUUUGUGGAAGGGAACAUAAGAAUCUUGUUCUCUUCUCAAGUUAUUCUAUUAUGGUCAUCCUCGUCUUUUCUGAGGGAAUUAAGGACUAGGUUACUCAUCUUCUUCUAGGCUCGUGUUUCUGAUCGGUAGAUUAUAGGACUACGGGUCAAGAGAUAUUUGGGUUUCUUUCAUUCCUAGGAAAAAUGAAGUAAGUUUGAUGAUCAGAGAAUUGAACUUGAUAGUUGAGUGGUGACGCUAUUCCAUUUUGGGUUGUCUCAAAAUUUGUUUUUGAGCAUUUACAGCUGUUAUGCUGCCCAAUUUUGCAUUCGGAGCUCUAAUGCUUUUGCAUUACUCUCUAUUUAUAGAUGCUUGGCCGUCCUUCUCGUUAGGUGGUACGUCUGACCAGGUGCAUUGAUGUAUCGGAUCAUACGGCCAUGCUGGUCAGGGUGAUGUUGGUGUGAGGUUACCGCUGGUACCCCGAGUACACAGUGGAGGAACAGUACCGAGACUUCAACCAGAGCCAGUAUAUCUGCACCGUUAGGGUAUUUCCAGACUACCCUGGAGCUGAGGAGCCAAUACAUUGGUCCUAUGGGUUGGGAGUCACUAUUGACAUGCCAGUACAAGAUGCUACCUGUAACAUCCCAAAAGUUUAAAUUUCGGAAUGUUAAUAUAAUUAUUAGAUUGAUUGUUUGUUUGUUGGUUGCCUGAGUGAUUGAAACUUUUGUGAAAUUUGAAACCUUUCGAAAACUUUUGAACGAGAGGGAAUAAAAUGACUUUCCCCUCUCCGGUGAAUUCAAAUUGAAACUUUUAAAAGCAACGAGAGAAGAUGACAUGACUUCUUCAAUUAUAAAGAAUUUGAACGGAGAUAUUUGCGAUGAAUUCUUUUGCUUUUCCAUUUUUCCAUCGCGCGAGAAAUGUCUGGAGGAAACUCUCCUGCACGCAAGAGAGAAGAGCGGAGGAAAAUGACACUCCAAAAGUGCGGGCAAAUCUGUGAAAUAAUUGAGCAAAGAAAACCCAAAAUUCUUUUGCAAAAAUAAUUGCAAAAAGAAAUAAAGCAAAUUGGGAAUUUGUGAAAAAACAUUUUUUAAAAGUUUUUAUUUUGGCUUUAAAAAAAUGUUAUUCGGGUAGAGAUUCUUUUUCUGAUUUGUUUUUGAUAUAUUAUACCAUAUAUUAAUAUUUUGAUUUACUCUUUUUUUUGUCGUUUUUAUUUUCUGUUUUGGAAAAAACUUAGAGAUUAGGAAGUAUUAUUUUUGUAGCAGCCGCCCUAGGCGCUACAUAGCUGGGCCCGAGCCCCUUUUUUCCUGGGAUUGAAUCCCUUGUGACCGGCCACCGCACCCCCUGCCUUUUCCCUCCCUUCCCCAAGUGCCCCGUGGCCCCCACCCGAGCUCCUCUCUCCCACGUCGGCCUCCUCUCUUCCUCCUUCCUUCUCUGCACCAGAAACCGAGCUGCACCCCUCCCCACCAGGGAUUCCCUUCCCCCACUGCCUCCCUCUCCUCCCUUAACUCUCCCUCCUCCCUGCCUCCCUUUUCUCUGCCGUGGACCCCCCCCCAACCGAAGCCUCCUCUCCCCAUGUCGGCACCUCUCCUCCUUCUCCCUCGUCCCUUCCUUCUUCUCCCAGCCAAAACCGAGCCGCCCGAGACCUCGGGAUUCUCUUCCCCAGCGCCCUCCCUCUCCUUCCUUAGCUCCCUCCCCUCCUGGCCUAUAUAAAGCUCACCCCUCCACCGACCCCGUUCCCACCCUAACCACCUCAAACCGCCGCCACUAGCUCCCUCCCUACCCCUCGCCAGCAGCCCCGCUGCCCACCUCGGCCACCCGCAGGAGCGCCCCGUCACCCCACUCCGCCGCCGCCUCCCUCUCCCCUCGUCGCUGCCCUAGCCUUGCACCACCGCCGCCAGCAGCCCCGCUGCCCACCUCGGCCACCGCAGCGCCGCCACUGCCGCCCGCCGGAGCAUCUCCUACUACACCGUCUACCCCGCCUCGGAGCACCCCGUCGAGCCCCUCCGUCUCCUCGAGCGCCUCCCCGAGGAGGAGCACCCCACCGCCGCCGCCCGACGUCCCCACCCCCCACCGGAGCUCCCUCCUCGCCGGCCAUCUUCCUCCCUCACCGGUGCAACACUGCCCAGCAGGUAGUCUCUCCCUCCAUCUCUCUGUAAUUGCAUGUACCUUUCCUUAGCCGUUAGAUAUUAGAUGUAAGGCCCAGAUUAAAUCACGGCAUACCCUUUCGGUUUACCCUAGAAAACCAGUGGGUUAUUUGUCACUUAAGUUUUAGCCGGCGAUUUUGCUUAGCCAUAGGCCGUUUGCCCGAAGCCGUUCCAACAAACAGCCCUGCAACCAGUAGCAACUUGCCACAUGUACAUCUCUUUUAGCACUAGUAGCUGCAGUUUUUCUGUCAAAAUUAGCAAAAACAGAAACUUUCAAUUUUGAUUUGGCCACAACUUUUUAUCCCGAAGUCCAAUCACCUUGAUUCUUUUUCCAGUAGCUCACAAAUUUCCUGUAGUUUUUAAAAACAUAUAAUUUGUCUAUGUUUGAAUUUUGCAAAUAUAAGUUAGAGCAGAUUUAGUUUAAUCCUUGUUCUGCCUAUUCCAGGAGUUUAAAAAUAACUUUUAAUUUGAUUCCUUUUGGUACUGAUCACUAGUGAUCUUAGUUAACAGUGGUAAAAAUUUCAGAUUUGUUUGAGUAUUUUAACUCAUUAUUUCUUGUGAAACAAUUUCUGUUUCACCACUUUUAGGUUUUCGGCUAAUUCAUUUUCUACUUUUGUUUUAAAAUAUUUUCUUUAUUAUUUCAGAAAUAUUAUUAUUGUUUUGUCUCUGUUAGCUAAAAGUAGUUUUGCAACAAAUUUUUAUUUUUUUUUAUUUUUUUUCAUGAAAUCAAUUCUAGUUCCUUAGUAACUUGCAAUUGUUUUCACCGUUGUUUCAAAUCCCGUUUGGGAAUACUUUCAAAAAGUUUUGUGAAAAAUACUUUAUUUUAUCCUAGUUAAACUUCUAUCUUAGUUCCUUGUUAUUAUUUUCUGUUAGACAAAAUUAUUUAGUGUUUAACGUAGUAGAAGACUCCCUAGUCUUAUUUGAAGUUUCUUUCGGUUUCUUAUUCGCUCUCUCUCUUUUGUUUCGAUUGCUAUAAUGAAUGCUAGUAUGAGUGAUUAUGUGAAUGAUAUGUUUGCUAUAUAGAUUUCAUCGGAGAGUGAUGAGUAGUCUAUCAAGUUAUUUUCUCGAGAAAUUCUUCUUCGUCAACAUCCCAGGCAAGUCAUCUUUGAUCAUGUUAUUUUACCUAUGUUUUCGACGCAUAGUAGAUCACCUUCUUUGCCCAAUUUGCAUGCUGCCUAGGUACUUGGAAACUUUAGUGUAAGUUGUAGUAUUCAUGUGGUAGGAACACAACACCCCGACACUUGUCCGCGGGACGACAAUUUCUUAAUGCUAUGCUUGAGUAGACGGGUUAUCGGUUGAGUGUAUACCACGAGUGAUGCGAGGUUGACAUAUUAAUCAAGACCGGACUAAGACAAGAUUUUCAAGACCUCGGACGCAAUGCAACUCUGGGUGAAGGACGGUUGAUCGGCUCCCUGGAAAACCCAGUGGAUGCCCGGGAUGCUGGAGAGGCCAUGUCAUCCUGCGGAAAGCUUCACCCAGGCUCAAAGAGACGGACGGAUAUUUUCAAGACCCAAGGCUUACCUGCACAGCCACAAGUCAUUAUGGGCUCUGGCUUGGUUGGACAACGCGGCAUCUCUGGACAGGCGGUGCUAGCAGAUGUAGACGAACGGUAGGAAUGGAUGGGCACCGACAGGGAUUCAGGGGGACCCGUUGAAAGACCAUGUUUUGAUCAUCCGGUCUUCAAACACCUUGAAGUGCGAGGACAUACACAGAGGCGAUCAAAUCUUGUGGGGAACGUGUGCAAAACUCUGCAGAGUACUCAAACCUAAUCGAUUAGCCGUGUCCACGGUCAUGGACAACUUGAGCCAAAGGAACUGAAGUUAUCUGGAUUUCUCAACACCAUUAAAUAUAUUUGACGAGAGUAAUUAUUGACAACUCGGGUACGAGAACUGGUUGGCGGAACCAUCUCGUUAACAACAAACCUUGUAGUAACAUUUUGCUUUCAACCCCUCUUGUUGGUGUUUAUUGGGACUCCACUCCCUUGACCGCUUCCGCUGAGAUAAUUAAGGUAUAUAUCAGUUUUAUGCUAUUUACAUGUGAUUGCACUUUGAUAUAUACAUUGAUGUACUGUGUGUGCCAGCAUAUUGAUCCAGGGAUGGCACAGAAACACAGAGGCUUGACUCGUCUUGAGUCGGGUCGCUACAUAUUCAAUGCUGACCAUUAUGAGAGCGAGACAUGCACUGCUGCAGAAUUCAGAGUUCUGCUACGUUCCGGCCUCUCACCCUAGUGAAGAGGGAUACCUCAGCGGAGUCUAUUUUGAUUCUUCUAUGGAGGAUCCACUUCUGCAGUCCACUAUUGAGAUGCUAGAGAACAGAGAUAGGGUUCUCGUGCUCUCCGCAUGGAGCUUUAUGCUACCCGUGCCCAUCUAUGGACGGCUUUGACGCAGCUGGCACCGGUAGUUCAGACAGGGUACGGAGAUAUGGAGAUGCUGAACCCUGUUAGGACCCAUCUUCCGGCCCACGUUGACUGGCCAGCUAUAGGAGGAGUCACCCCUCUUCGGGGACCCCUCUUACCACCAGUCAGGGGACCAAGGCCACAUCCGUGUCCUUAUGGAUCCCAGGGAUCUCAGGCCAGAGUGUUUCCUAAUCCGCAGGUUGAGCUUCCAGGUCAUGGAGGUAAUCUCUAUGAGAUGUUCUAUGCGGAUGCCUGAGCCGUGAGCGGAAGGAUAGUAUGGUAGUAGCCGUACGUUCACAGUCCUGCAUGACUUGUGAAGUAUGCCUGUGAUGUGAAAUGAAUUCCGGAGGCCUAGAUAAAUAAUGUAUAGGAAGCUUGUAAGCCUCUGAUGAGUAGUUUCAUAAUUUCAGUAAUUUGCUGUUCGGUUAAGGUUGUACUGAACUAUGUAAGGGUGUGUAUGAACCAUGGUGUAUAUAUAGCAGUUGCUUGUUACCAUGCUGUUCGGAUAUUCAUUUCCGCAUUCCGUGUGUUCAGUACAUUCUUAAUCCAUAGCUAGUAUUGAUAUGAUAUCGGUCUAAGCUGUGAGUUUGUUUGUCAGGAUGGUGUUCACCAAGUUGAACCGUGCCCCUGCUCAUGAGCAAGGUGAGGGUAGUCAAGCGUCGUAGGAAGACCUGCCUCAUCCGCCCUCUCUGGCGGAAGUUAUGCUUGAGGCAGAGAGAAACAAAAGGGAGACCAACCGACUGUUAGAGCGUAUUGAGCAGAAUACGGCUCGUCAGCCUAGGAAUGCUGCAGUGUCCCUCAACGACUUUGUGAAGCUGAAUCCUCCAAAGUUUCAUCAUUCCGUCGAUCCCCUCGACGCUGAUGACUGGCUGUGCAGCAUCUCACGCAAGAUUCGCUCUGCGAAUGUUUCUGAGGCCGACAAGGUGACCUUUGCGGCGUAUUUCCUGGAAGGACCCGCCAAUAUGUGGUGGGAGAACUUUGAAGCUAUGCGUCCCGCUGAACCAGCAGCCACAUGGGUAGACUUCAGUGCAGCCUUUCGUCUGCACCAUAUUCCAGAGGGCCUAAUGGACAGAAAGAGAGAGGAGUUUUGUGCCUUCACUCAGGGCAAGUUGACCGUGCUUGCCUAUAGCCGCGAGUUCGGUAACCUCGCCCGCUAUGCAACCGAGGAGGUGUCUACUGACACCAAGAAGCAAGCAAGAUUCCGUAAGGGUCUGAGCCCUGAGCUUCGUCGUGAUCUGCGCCUCCACGAGUGUGCAAGCUUUCAUGCCCUGGUCAACAAGGCGAUCAGUGCCGAGACUGGUCAUACUGACUUUCAAGCCACAAGGAAGCACUCCCGUGACUUUGGCUCGUCUUCUGGUUCCGCGUUUCCAAAACGCAGGCUGUGGGUUCCGAAUAGUUCUCUGCCGCCAAGAUACACUCCGAGGCCAUCCUACGUGGCGUCUCAGACGAAUCAGACCAACCCUCCAGCAAAAACCUAUGGUGGUCCAGCUAACAAUGCUGCACCACGUGCCAACCAAGUGAUAUGCUACAAGUGUGGAGAACCAGGGCACUAUUCCCAUGAGUGUCCUCAAAAUGUGGGUGCCAAGCAACCCGGAAAGUCUGUCGGGCAAGGCAAGUCGGGCAAAGCUUACUAUGUGAAGACAACUCCUGCACGUGGCCGUGUGAACUAUGUGUCAGCAGAAGAAGCUGCAGAGGAUCCUGACGUCAUACUGGGUACGCUUCUUGUUAAUCAUCACCCAGCGUCUGUUCUCUUUGACACUGGGUCUUCUCAUUCCUUCAUUUCAGAAAGUUAUGCACAGUUGCAUAACAUGUCUUUUUGUGAUAUGCCAAUUCCGUUGGUUGUCCAAACUCCUGGUAGUAAAUGGCAAACCUCUAGGAUAACCUAUGACAAUGAAAUUCUAGUAGACAGGCUAGUUUUUCUAGCCUCAUUGAUAGCCUUGAAAUCUUUGGAUAUUAAUAUCAUCUUGGGUAUGGACUGGAUGUCAGCUCACUAUGCCAAUAUUGAUACUCAUUCUAGAAAUGUCCAGCUUACCCAUCCCUCGGGUGAGAUAGUAAAUGUCUCUACUCGAGUUGCCAAAUGCCAACUCUAUUCCCUAAAUGCCAACCCUCUUCCGGAACUUAAAGACAUUCCGGUAGUCCGUGACUUUCCGGAUGUCUUUCGAGAGGAACUGCCAGGAAUUCCACCUGACAGAGAUGUAGAGUUUGUGAUAGAUCUUGUUCCGGGAACUGUCCCAAUAGCCAGAAGACCUUAUAAGAUGGCACCCCUGGAGCUAGCCGAACUUAAGAAGCAACUAGAUGAGGCCUUGAAUAAAGGUUUCAUUCGUCCUAGCUCUUCUCCUUGAGCUUGUCCCGUCCUCUUCGUCAAGAAGAAAGACGGAACGGAUCGGAUAGUUGUAGAUUACCGACCAGUUAAUCUGGUCACCAUAAAGAACAAGUAUCCGCUCCCCAGGAUCAACGACCUGUACGAUCAGCUCGCUGGGUCCUCAGUCUUCUCCAAAAUGGAUUUGAGGUUGGGAUACCAUCAAAUCAAGAUCAAGAACGGUGACAUUCCAAAAGCGGCUUUUGUUACUCGAUAUGGCUAAUACGAGUACACCGUCAUGUCCUUCGGUUUAACCAAUGCCCCAUCCACCUUCUCUCGUUUGAUGAAUUCAAUCUUCAUGGAGUAUUUGGAUAAGUUCGUCGUGGUAUACCUCGAUGAUAUUCUCAUCUACUCGAAGAACGAACAAGAACAUGCCGAGCAUCUAAGGCCGGUAUUGAUGAAACUUCGAGAGCAUCGCCUUUAUGCCAAGUUUUCAAAAUGUGAAUUUUGGUUACCAGAAGUGACCUAUCUAGGUCACGUAAUCUCUGGUAAGGGUAUUGCUGUCAAUCCCGAGAGAGUUCAAGCUAUCCUUGAUUGGACUCAACCUGAAUCGGUUAAGCAAGUUAGGAGUUUUCUUGGUCUAGCGAGCUAUUGUCACCGCUUUGUCGAGAAUUUCUCCAAGGUUGCAAAGCCUCUAACUGAACUCCUCAAGAAGGAUAAAAAGUUCGAGUGGACACCACAGUGUGAGCAUAGUUUUCAGGAACUGAAAAGACGCCUGACUUCCGCACCUGUGUUGCUACCACCAGAUUUUUCUAAGGACUUUGUUAUCUAUUGCGACGCCUCGCGACAAGGAUUAGGUUGCAUUCUCAUGCAAGAUCGUCAUGUGAUCGCAUACGCAUCUCGACAGUUGCGUCCACAUGAGGAUAAUUAUCCCACACAUGACCUUGAGCUUGCAGCCGUGGUCCAUGCACUAAAAACCUGGCGACAUUACCUUUUGGGUAAUCGUUGCGAAAUUUUCACUGAUAACCAAAGUCUGAAAUAUAUCUUCUCCCAGCCGGAUUUGAAUCUCAGGCAAAGAUGGUGGGUUGAGUUGAUCUCGGAUUACGACUUAGGGAUAACUUACACCCCGGGGAAGGCGAAUGUUAUGGCCGAUGCACUAAGUCGUAAAUCUUAUUGUAACAAUUUGAUGCUACAACAAGGUCAACCACAUCUCUAUGAGUAAUUUCGGAAGAUGAAUCUUCAUAUUGUUCCUCAAGGAUUCCUUUCUACCCUGGUGGCGAAGCCUACUCUUAAGGAUCAAAUCAUAGCCGUGCAGGCUUAUGAUAAGGGUAUAUCCCGGAUCAAGAACAAUAUUGCUAGCGGUAACGCUAGGGAUUUCUCCAUCAAUGAGAAAGGUGUUGUGUUCUUUCAGAACCGUUUAGUGGUUCCUAAGAGCAAACGUCUGCGGCAAUUGAUCCUUAAGGAGGCCCAUGAUUCUCCUCUCACCAUUCAUCCCGGUAGUACUAAGAUGUAUCAGGACCUACGCUAGAGGUUCUGGUGGACUAGGAUGAAGAGAGAAAUUGCUGAGUUCGUUGCUAACUGCGACGUUUGUCGUCGAGUUAAGGAAGAACAUCAAAGGCCUGCUGGCACCCUUCAACCUCUAGCUAUUCCUGAAUGGAAAUGGGAUAAAGGUAGUAUGGAUUUCAUUACCGGAUUUCCCAAGACCAAGAAAGGAAAUAAUGCUAUCUUUGUGGUCAUUGACCGUCUUUCCAAAGUGGCUCAUUUUCUUCCCGUUCGUGAGAGUAUAACAGCUAGCCAGCUAGCAGAGUUAUAUGUCUCUCGAAUAGUGUCUCUUAAUGGUGUUCCCCUGGAGAUUAACUCGGACCGUGGGAGUAUCUUUACUUCCCGCUUCUGGGAAAGUUUUCAGAAUGCCAUGGGGACUCACUUGUCUUUUAGCACUGCUUUCCAUCCCCAAUCAAGUGGUCAAGUAGAAAGAGUGAAUCAAAUCCUAGAAGAUAUGCUCCGAGCUUGUGUUAUAUCGUUCGGUAUGAAUUGGGAGAAGUGCCUUCCAUUCGCCGAAUUCGCUUAUAACAAUAGUUAUCAAUCAAGCUUGGGCAAAGCUCCUUUUGAAGUUCUCUAUGGACGAAGAUGUCGAACACCUCUUAAUUGGUCAGAAACCGGAGAGAGGCAACUCUUUGGCCCGGAUAUGAUCCAGGAUGCAGAAGAGCAGGUUCGUAUUAUUCGUGAAAAGUUGAAAACAGCUCAGUCUCGUCAAAAGAGCCAAUAUGAUCGUCAUCAUAAGGCUGUGACCUUUGAAGUUGAUGAGAAGGCUUACCUUCGGGUUACACCUUUGAAGGGUACCCAUCGAUUCGGUAUCAAAGGCAAGUUGGCUCCUCGUUACAUUGGUCCUUUUCGCAUUCUUGCCAAACGAGGAGAAGUUGCCUACCAGUUGGAACUUCCUCCGCAUCUUUCCAAGGUUCAUGAUGUCUUCCACGUCUCGCAACUCAGGCGUUGCUUUUCGGAUCCUAUCCGUGAAGUGGACCACGAAAUGCUUGAUUUCCAAGAUAACCUUUCAUACCGAGAAUACCCCGUGCAUAUUCUUGAUCAAGCUAAGCAUACCACUCGACGUCGAAACCUUAAGUUUCUUAAAGUUCAAUGGUCAAAUCAUUCUAAAAAGGAGGCAACUUGGGAAAGAGAGGACCGUCUCCGACUUGAGUAUCCUGCGUUAUUCCCGACGACUUCUAAAUCUCGGGACGAGAUUCUUUUGAGUGGGGGUGAGUUGUCACAUCCCUGACACCUUAGGCAAGUUAGCUUUGUGCUCAUGUUUUCUUUGCAUUGCAUCUAGGAAAUUUUCAACAAGAACAAAGCAAGUGGUGAAGGAAAAUUCUAAAACCCUAGCCACUUCUCAAAUUAAAGGAAAUUCAAACUAGUUAAAAUCAAUGAACCCAAAAUGGCCUCAAGAAAAGUUCAAUGUUUCUGAUAAAUCAUGAAAGUAAAUGAGCAAUGAAGAAAACCAUUUUCUUGACACCUUAAGCAUUUUAAUUAAAUGCAAAAAGCUAAUGGUUUCAAGUUUAAAAUUUGAAAUCAGAAACUUUAAGCUUUCAAAAAUGUUGAAAACUUUAGGAAUGGUUGGAAAUAUUCCAACAAAUAUUCUGGGGUGUUCAACAUAGUUUUUACAAACUAUUUGGUAGCUGAAAUAAAUAGCAAAUCAAUGUCACUAAUUAAAACAGAAACAAAACAGAAAGAAAAUGAGAAAAGUCUAUCUGUCGCUCACCUGGCCCGGCCCAGCAUCUUCCUGUCGUCUUCCUCCCCCGCUAGUGGGCAGCAGGAGGUGGCCGCCGCGUACUCCGGCGCGGCCACGCACCUGUGCGCCUGCCUGGCCGCCGCCUCGCACUGGCAAGCACGAGGAUAUCUUCCCCGAGCCCGUCCCUAUCCGUUCCCUAGCUCCAGUUCCCCCCUCCUCUCGGGAUCUCUCCUCCCUCCUUCUGCAGCCAUUGGAGCCCGAGCAGAGCUCGAGCUCGCCGUCAUUCUAGCCUACCCUUCUCCCUCCUGAGCCGUGCAAUAGGUCCGCCGCAACUCCCUGAAGCUUUCUAGCCACGAGCCCGACGCCGAGACGCAGUGAAACGACGAGACGCAAUCGUCUUCUUCCUCGGGUCACCGAAGUUCGCCGCCGGCGUUCUUCCUCUCCAGGCCGUCCCCGAGCAAGCUAGCCCCACCACUGCACUCCUCGUGAGCUUGCGCAUAUUUCCCCUAAGAUCUCCCCGUCGAUCCCCUCCUCUAGGCCUAGUUCCAUUGGAGCCCGACGAGAUCCGCCACUGCAGCUCAUCGCCGGUAGCCUCCGGUGAUCAGCUCGUCCUUCUAAAGCCACCAGCAGCUUCAGGCCGUCGCGUAGAUGCCGUAGAAGCUGAGUCCCGUGCGUAGCUCCCUCUGUAUCCAUGCCCCCGACGACGCCCAAACUUUGGCCGCCGCCAAGCUCGUCGCUGGCGUCAUCUCCGGCCAGAUCAGCCCCAGCUAAGUGCAAAAAUGAACCCGCGGGAGAAGUGUCGUUCCUCUGGUGCUCUCCGCGCCGAGUUUGGCCCCCUGUGCGCCGUUUUCGAGCCCCCCCCCCCNCCCCCCCCCCGACGUACUGGUGGUCGCCGGAGGCUCCCCGCCGGCGAGGACGGCCUCGCCGCCGGUGGAUCUCAGCUGGCCUGAGCCACUGACGUGUGGCGCCAGCCUCUGGGAGUUUAGGAAUAAUAAAAAAUAAAAUCAAAUAAUUUAAUAAGUCACUGACAUGUGGGUCCAGUGAGAUUAAUUAGCUAAUUAAGAUUAAUUCUAAUCUAAAACUGACCAGAGACACUGACCAGUGGGUCCCACUGGUCAGGUUUGACUUUCAACGGCCAGUUGGACCUGCUGAUGUCAUGUUGAUGCAAUAAAGAGAUUUUCCAGUAUAGAAAUAAUUCCAGAAAUGUUUAAAACUUCUAAAAUUCAUAGAAAUUAAUCUGUAACUCCAAUGAAAAUAAUUUAUAUAUGAAAAAGUAUCAGAAAAAUUCAAGGAAUCUGAAUAUGUCAUUUUCAAACAUGUUUGAAAAAGUUAGAGAACCCAAACAUGUAGAUUAAUGAAUAAGUUAAUUCUUACAAAAACUUUAUAAACAGAAUUUGGAAAAUAUUUAAAUUUCACUAUGAAUGACAUGAUCAAACACUGUGCUAAUUACAAAUCAGCAACCUAACAUGUCAUCCCAUGCAUGUUAAAAGGAAGUUGAUCUGAGCAUGAGGUCGAAUCAAUUAAAAUGGUAUCCGAGAAUACCUCGUUUGAAGUGAUAUUUGAAUUUGAUUCAAAUCAACUUCAAACCUAAUACAUGCUAGCUAUAUUAGUAUAUCAUCUUGCAUUCUCAUGCCAUGCUCAUGCAUCAUCUUGAUUGUAUAUGUUUGUUAUUGAUUGUUGUCAUUCCUUUCGGUAGGCUCCGCUCCCCCGGAUUCCACCGAAUAUCCGUCUGACGGAUAUUGUCACUCCUCUGAGCAACAAGGCAAGCAACCAUUUUGAUCAUCCCGAUAAAUCCCAUGUUCUUGCUCCUGCACUUACUUAUUGCAUUUGGAUCAAAUGCUUCAACUACUUUUGCCACGUUAGUUGAACCCACUUCCUUUGCAUGACCUAUCCUUGUCACAGUAAAUAGCUGAACCUUGCAACCUAGCAUACCUGGUAGUUGCUUGAGCCAUGAUGUGCCUUAUCCUGCUAUGCAUGCUAUGCUGAGAGUUGUGUAUGGUCUGUCAUCUGGGAGAUGAACAGAAUUGUGAGAAUGUGUUCGGUAAGCAAAGGUUGUGUGUUGAACCUGAUUUGGUAAAGGUACCGGUGAAAGGCUGUGUAGGAGUACAUGGCGGGUUGUUUCAUUGGAACCGUCCUUAGGAACUGAGUUCCGUGUGUGU
rnacentral:lncRNA from 1 species